rnacentral:lncRNA from 1 species
AUGACAGAUCCAGAAAGGAGGCUUUAUGAUCACAGAACCAAAUUAAUCCAGGAUCUGCGUGCAGGGAUCAGACACCUAAAAAGAGCCUUAAAAAAGAAAACUGGCACAAUACAGACAUUGAGGUUAAGAGUACAGAGUUACCUAAAGAAAAAUGAAAAUAACCUAGCCAAGGAACUGCAGAUUAAGAUAAAGAUAUAUGAUAAUACAUUGUCAAGAAGCCAGGCAUUGCACAGAAAGAACAGUACUUUGAAAAACACUGGACAUGUUUCGAAGAAGAGGAGACAAAAGUACAGUAAAGCAAAGGUAAACAUGAAGAGACAUAUGAGGAUUCCGGAGGAGAACUGUGUGAUCGAGGACAUGGACAAAGAAGGCAAAACAACAAAGGAAGUCCUCCCAGACCAGGAACCGUGCACUCAGCUGCCAGACCUGCAGACAGAAAAUGACCAAAACCUUCCUGAGAUACGGGAGCACCUUUUGGAAGAAGACAUUAAAGAUCAUCAAAACCAACUACAAAUGUUGGACAGAAACAGGGCGCAGCAUGAGCUGAAAAAACACAGAUGGGAAAAGAAAGAGCAGCAAUUAGUCCAAGAGAAACACCAUCUCAUACUGAAGAGCAAAGAGCUGCAGGAGCUCACUCUGCUGACAGACAAACAGAAAGAAAAGAUCAGGAAAGAGCAGAAGAAAGCUGAGAAGGAGGUCGCCAAACUGAAAGCAAAGGAAGAGAAAAUGAAGCAAAAUCAGCGCAAAAACGAGAAAGCUAAACUUAAGAAAGAGAAAGAAGAGAGACUGAAGGAAGAGAAACUCAAGAAAAAGGAGGAAGAACAUCUGCAAAAAGAGACAAAACAAGCAAAGAAAGAGAAACAACUGAAAGUAGAGAACGAGCAAAAGAAGAAAGAAAAACUUGAGAAAAAGGAAAAAAAACUGCGGGAAAAGGAAAACCAAAAGUGGAGAAAGAAAAAAAAGAAACUUGAGAAAAAGGAAGCACGUCUGCAGAAUGAACAAAAACAACUGUUGAUUGCCAAGGAAAAGGACCUGAUGAAAAGGUUUGAGGCAUGGGAGAGGGAAAAAGAAAAAAUGCAUCUGAGCAAGAACAAGGAAGCCAAACUUAAGAAAGAGAAAGAACAGUGGCCGUGUAUAAGAAUAUUCAAGAAGAAGAAGAAAGAACCGCAAGAAAAGGAAAAGCCAAUGUGGAAAAAAGAGAAAGGGAAACUUGAGAAACUUGAGAAAAGGGAAGCACGUCUGCAGAAAAAAGAACAACUGUUGAACGCCAAGAAAGAGGACCUAAAGAAAAGGUUAGAGGCGUUGGAAAAGAAAAAGCUAAACUUAAGAAAAGAGAAGGAAGAGAGACUGAAGAAAGAGAAACUCAAGAAAAAAGAGGAAGAACGUCUGCAAAAAGAGGAGACAAAAUGA